rnacentral:rRNA from 1 species
GAGUUUGAUCCUGGCUCAGAAUCAACGCUGGCGGCGUGCCUAACACAUGCAAGUCGAACGCGAAAGUCCCGCAAGGGAUGAGUAGAGUGGCAAACGGGUGAGUAACACGUGGGUGACCUGCCUUCGAGCGGGGGAUAACGUCCCGAAAGGGACGCUAAUACCGCAUAACAUCCUGCUUUUUAAGAGGUGGAGAUCAAAGCUGGGGAUCGCAAGACCUAGCACUCGAAGAGGGGCCCGCGUCCGAUUAGCUAGUUGGUGGGGUAAUGGCUCACCAAGGCAACGAUCGGUAGCCGGCCUGAGAGGGCGGACGGCCACACUGGGACUGAGACACGGCCCAGACUCCUACGGGAGGCAGCAGUGGGGAAUUGUUCGCAAUGGGCGCAAGCCUGACGACGCAAC